AGAGUUUGAUCCUGGCUCAGGACGAACGCUGGCGGCGUGCUUAACACAUGCAAGUCGAACGGUGAACCCUUCGGGGGGAUCAGUGGCGAACGGGUGAGUAACACGUGAGCAACCUGCCCUUGGCUCUGGGACAACCACUGGAAACGGUGGCUAAUACCGGAUACGACCCAUGCAGGCAUCUGUUGUGGGUGGAAAGAUUUUUCGGCUGGGGAUGGGCUCGCGGCCUAUCAGCUUGUUGGUGGGGUAAUGGCCUACCAAGGCGACGACGGGUAGCCGGCCUGAGAGGGCGACCGGCCACACUGGGACUGAGACACGGCCCAGACUCCUACGGGAGGCAGCAGUGGGGAAUAUUGCACAAUGGGCGAAAGCCUGAUGCAGCGACGCCGCGUGAGGGAUGACGGCCUUCGGGUUGUAAACCUCUUUCAGCAGGGAAGAAGCGAAAGUGACGGUACCUGCAGAAGAAGCACCGGCUAACUACGUG
rnacentral:rRNA from 1 species